rnacentral:lncRNA from 12 species
AUGGUGGGAAGGUGUUGGGAGCAGCCUGGAGCAGCAUUCCUGAUCUCCUGGGAACUGACUCCCCCACCAGCACCCUGCACCAGGAUGUGGUUUUCUGACUGGGUAACCAACACACAAAAUCUAAAGAAGGGGCUCGCUUCUGGGACCAGAACCUCCACUCUGCCUGGUACAAAACAGGAGCAGAUCUUGGUCUCCAGAUUCCAGGCUCCAGUGAGGAAGGACACACUUGGUUUUGCAGAUGAAAGGCCCUGGGAUCUCUUCUGCUUUCAGCAAGGCCUUGUGUUCGAGGCUCCCCCUUACCCUCCUGGGGGUGGGCGAGGGGCUCACCCCACCUCACCUGCACAGCGAGGUGCUUGCUGGCCACAGACUGUGUGUCUGGUCCUCAUGAAAUGUCUUAUCCUGCCCUGUACCUGUGUAUCAGCCUCUCAUGUGCUGGGGGUAACGCAAUGAGUGGGCCCCGAUACUGCUUUUUCCUUCUGUGCUUUAAUCUGGUCACCACUGCUGAUGACCACCGGCCUUACCACUGCCUCUGGUCCCCAAGACCCCACGGCCAGCAGCCUUGGUCUCUCUGUUCAGACCCCAGAUCUCCUUGGUCCUCUCAGCUCUGCUGUGGCAUGGAGCCCUUGGGGGCUUCUCUUGUUCCAUGGGGCAUGGGGCAAGAGGAGUGAGAAGAGCCCAGACUCAGCCUCAGAGCUUGGGUCUGCAUUC